CUGUUUUCGCAGACGUCGGCGCCGACGUCUGCGCAGGUCUGCGCAGAUGCAUUUGCCGAACCCUUAGUGAAAACUAUGUUCAAUGUGCAAACUAUAUUUUAGUUUAUCAAAGUAUAUUUUUAUUGAUGUGUUCUGUCUCUGAUUCUUUCUUUUUCAGAUGUGCACUUGUGUCUUAGACUUAUGCUUUGCAAAAGGUUCACCAUUGCCCUUAAGUUGCUGUGGGUUUUACGGUUUUACUUCCAACCUGGCAUAUAAAUGCACUUAGUAUCUGAAGUUAUUUGUCAAUAACUGGUGAUCAGACUAUUUCAAACGAACACGUUUUUAAGGGCUGAGAAGAUAAAAGUUAGAAGUCUGCAGACUGCAACGUAAAUCAAUUUUUAAUACAUGGUUUCCUGAAUAUAUUUAGUUUUCGAUUGAAAUGAGAAUAAACUGAACUUAUAGAUAUGUUGAAAAUUAACUAUUUUAUAUUUUAAACGUUCGCUAAACGCAAGUGAAGCAAUAGUAUAUAUCUAUAGAU